UCCGGCUUGUCACCGGCAGUUUCUUCAGAGUGCCCAGCUUAACCUGAUGGCAACUGAAGAUGAGGGUUGCGCUCGUUGCGGGACUUAACCCAACAUCUCACGACACGAGCUGACGACAGCCAUGCAGCACCUGUGUGGAAGCCAGCCGAACUGAAGAACCCUCUUUCAAGGGUUCAUACUUCCCAUGUCAAGGGGUGGUAAGGUUCUUCGCGUUGCGUCGAAUUGAACCACAUGCUCCACCGCUUGUGCGGGCCCCCGUCAAUUCCUUUGAGUUUCAGCCUUGCGGCCGUACUCCCCAGGCGGGGUACUUAAUGCGUUAGCUACGGCACGGAUCCCAAGGAAGGAAACCCACACCUAGUGCCCACCGUUUACGGCGUGGACUAC
rnacentral:misc_RNA from 1 species